GGUUGCGUAGUGUAGCGGUUAUCACUCCAGAUUCUGAUGUCUGUGUUCAUUUCCAGUUCUUCUGGCAACCCCGGUUCGAUUCCGGGCGCGACCU